rnacentral:lncRNA from 1 species
UUAAUGCUUUUAUCGUUUAACUCAUUCGAUAACUGAUGUUUGUCUUUAUUGAUACGGGGACGUACAGUAAUGUCAUGAACUGGUGAGUAAUUUCUUGAUUAUGCAAUACCACCUAGGGAUAGGGGUAGGACGAUCAAUUGCGUUUAACUUCUGCUCUAUAAUGUUAUAUUAAUUGCUAGGGGAGGCUAGGGAUAGCAAGCCAGUAAUUAGUAUUAGGCUCUUUUCGCCGAGGGAUCGGGUUAAGGGUAGGCUAAGAAAGUUGCAUGACAAUUAAUUAAUCAAGCUAAUAAUUCAAGAGGAGUAAAUAAGAGAGAGCGAAUUAGAUGAAAUUGUAAACCCCCAACAACUCCAUUCAUCCAUUGUUUUCUUCUUGUCAUUUGAAUCAAUCUCUUUUGCAUGUUCAUAUUUUAUUUUAAUACUCAAUCCAUUAAUUGUUAUUUUCAAGUCUUACGAUUUUAAUUCACGCGAACGAUAAGGCCUUUCGAGUCUCUUGGGAAGAACGAUAUUGGGUUUUACCAAUUAUAUUACUUGAUACGAUUUGGUACGCUUGCCAAUCCGUUAACAGCCACCUUCCUCCAAGAUUUCGUCCAAAAUCUCUUAGAGAACCACCAAACACACCUUCCAUCACCAUUCAAACACCCAAAACCGUGACAACCUCCACCUUAUACCACCACAAUUUUGUUCGAAAACAGGUAGGCUUUGUUUUUACACCAAGAGGGGGGGGGUGAAUUGGUGAUGUUUCAAAAACAAAAUCUUUUGGCAAUCUUUUAUCAAAAAAAUAAAGCUUUUUUUAUCUUUCUUGAAAUGCAAGUAAUGAAAGUUUAUAUGCAGCGGAAAAAACGUAGUUGAUUACAUAACAAAUAAAGUCGACUGGAAUUAAAGAAUGUAGGGAUAGAGAAAAUCAAACACUGGUUUUUAUACUGGUUCGGCCAACAAUGCCUACAUCCAGUGUCCUUCCAACCUAGGAAGCAAAUGCACUAUAAUGGUUGCGGUUUUUACAACAAGGAAUUUAUAGAAGACCUCACGUCAAAAAUAUAAAUCUCCUCUCUAACCCAAAACCAAAAUAUAGCUGCAAUAACCAAUACUAGACUUGCAGCAAGAAUCCCCUCUUCUGCAAUCUGAACCCACAUCGAAAAAUCCUCAACGUGUAACUGCUGUAUCACAACAGGUCCAAUUCCAGCACACUUCACAUGAUGCCAAGCCUCAACACAACAGUCUUCACAGGAUGCCAAGCCUUCACAAAAUGCAGCAGUCUUCACAGGAUGCC